CAGGGCGCCGUGGUCUUCAGCAUGUCUGUGAGGGCAGGCCUGGACACCAUCACAGCCCCCAAGGACCGAGGAAGUUCACAGAUUUCUCACGCCCAAGGUCCCGACAUCGUGGCGCUGAGUACCCCCUGCAAGUCGGUCUGGCCGCCGAGCUGCUCAGCCGCAGGCACCUCCAGAAGCUCUGGGUCAGCGGCCCGGGACCUCGGGGUCUGGGCUGCCACUUGCUGCGCGCUCCACUCCUGCUGUUGGGACCUGGGCCUUGUUGGCCGGCGCCCUCCUCCCAUCUUGCCCUCGCUCCUCUGCUUCACUGUCUCCCGGGUUUACUGCCAAGAGGCGGGGGCUGCGGUUAGCAGGUGCCUCUGCCAGAGGGACAGCAGUGCCCCGAGGCUCCCGGUGCGGGGGUGGGGGGUGCAGGGCAGCCGCUCGGAGCCCGCAGGCUCUGGAGGCCUCCGGGUGCCUGAGGCAGUGCCCUCUGGCUUUCCCCGUCCCUGGAAUCCAGGCUUCGCUGCCCACCCCGCGCUGCGUCCAGGGCUGGGGUCAGGGAGCCACCAGCAGGGACCCAGCACACUCGCGCGUCCAUCUUACCCCAGCACAGGGACACUUUCUGGGUGACUUUGUGGACUCUGUCUCCCGAUCUUGCCACUGAAUCCUUCCUCUCUGCUGUCACGGUUUUAGUUUCCAAGAGUCCUUUUGGUUCUCUUAUUUAUAGAAUCCUAUUAUUUAACGGACACUAAGUCUUUUUUUAUCUUCAUGAAGAUAAAAAUUUUUUUUAAAGUUUC